CCUACGGGAGGCAGCAGUGAGGAAUAUUGGUCAAUGGACGAAAGGCUGAACCAGCCAAGCCGCGUGAAGGAUGAAGGCGCUAAGGAUUGUAAACUUCUUUUGUAAAGGGAUAAAAUCAGGCACGUGAGCCUGAAUGCGUGUCCAUCUAGAAUAAGCAUCGGCUAACUCCGUGCCAGCAGCCGCGGUAAUACGGAGGGUGCGAGCGUUAUCCGGAUUUAUUGGGUUUAAAGGGUGCGUAGAUGGAACUGUAAGUCAGAGGUUAAAGGUCGGGGGCCAACCGUCAGAUUGCAGUUGAUAAUGGCUGUCUGGAGUACAGGAGGGGUAGGUGGAAUUCGUGGUGUAGCGGUGAAAUGCGUAGAUAUUACGAAGAACACCGAUGGCGAAGGCAGCAUACUG
rnacentral:rRNA from 1 species